GCCCGCGUGGCCUAAUGGAUAAGGCGUCUGACUUCUAAUCAGAAGAUA
rnacentral:tRNA from 1 species